GAUGAAGAACGUAGCGAAAUGCGAUAAGUAGUGUGAAUUGCAGAAUUCAGUGAAUCAUCGAAUCUUUGAACGCACAUUGCGCCCCUUGGUAUCCCGAGGGGCAUGCCUGUUCGAGCGUCAUUUCACCACUCAAGCCUGGCUUGGUGUUGGGCGACGUCCUCUUUGGGGACGCGCCUCGAAACGCUCGGCGGCGUGGCACCGGCUUUAAGCGUAGCAGAAUCUUUCGCUUUGGAAGUCGGGGCCCCGUCUGCCGGAAGACCUGCUCGCAAGGUCGACCUCGGAUCAGGCAGGGAUACCCGCUGAACUUAAGCAUAUCAAUAAGCGGAGGA
rnacentral:misc_RNA from 1 species